UACGGAGGAUCCAAGCGUUAUCCGGAAUCAUUGGGUUUAAAGGGUCCGUAGGCGGUCUAGUAAGUCAGUGGUGAAAGCCCAUCGCUCAACGGUGGAACGGCCAUUGAUACUGCUGGACUUGAAUUAUUGGGAAGCAACUAGAAUAUGUAGUGUAGCGGUGAAAUGCUUAGAGAUUACAUGGAAUACCAAUUGCGAAGGCAGGUUGCUACCAAUUGAUUGACGCUGAUGGACGAAGGCGUGGGUAGCGAACAGG
rnacentral:rRNA from 1 species